rnacentral:rRNA from 1 species
GAAUAUUGGACAAUGGGCGAAAGCCUGAUCCAGCCAUGCCGCGUGUGUGAAGAAGGUCUUCGGAUUGUAAAGCACUUUAAGUUGGGAGGAAGGGCGGUAAGCGAAUACCUUGCUGUUUUGACGUUACCGACCUAAUAAGAACCGGCUAACUCUGCUACAGCAGCCGCGGUAAUACAGAGGGUGCCAGCGUUAAUCGGAAUGACUUGGCGUAAAGCGCGCGUAGGUGGUUCGUUAAGUUGGAUGUGAAAUCCCCGGGCUCAACCUGGGAACUGCAUCCAAAACUGGCGAGCUAGAGUAGGGCAGAGGGUGGUGGAAUUUCCUGUGUAGCGGUGAAAUGCGUAGAUAUAGGAAGGAACACCAGUGGCGAAGGCGACCACCUGGGCUCAUACUGACACUGAGGUGCGAAAGCGUGGGGAGCAAACAGG